GCAACGUUUACAAAAAAUAAAUUUACGAAUUUGAAAAUGUAAGGAUUUAAAAUAACAUAAAAAUAUUAAAUCUUAAUUAAUUGAUAAUACAAUUAAUUUAAAAUAUUGAUCUUGAAAUUAUCAUAGAUAACACUUUGAUAUGCAAUUGACAUAAUUUUUUUUUACAGUCCUUUUUCUUCAAUUAAAAAAAAAAACAUUAAAAAAAAUAAAUUAAUGUCAAAAAAUAAAUUAAUAUAAAACAAAAAAAUAUAAAAUAUGAAACAAAACUAUUUUUGUUCGAAAAAAAAAAAAUAUAUAUAUAUAUGUAAUAUAUCUACAACGAUAGUUAAAGAGUGAGAGUUGAAAUGAAAAAGUGAGAGUGAAAAUGUAAGUGCUGGGGAAAAAAAGAGAACAUGCACGAGUGAGAACGAAAACGGAUGAGCAAGACGAGCAUAAGAUUUCGACACUCUGGAUUCUACCGGAUUCGUGUGCUUUCAUGAUUUUUCGUUACAUUUUCAUAUAAAUCGUUCGUUGACUAAAGAUGCAUAUAAAAUCGAUUAUUAUACAAUAUAUCUAUAAUUUGUUAAGUUCAAACAUGGUCGAAAUCUGUUUAGAUGAAUUUAUCCAAGAAUAGAAACCAUAUAAAGAAGAUUGUAAAUCCGAUCUUAACAAACCAAUCAGCAAAAUACAAAUAUCUAAUAACUUUUCGUGCACGAGGUAUGGUAGAAAGAUCAUCUUUUAAACAAUAUUGUCUAACGCCUAAUAUAUAUUUCAACAUGUAACUAUCCCAAGAUAUAGCUUUUGUAUCCAUAAAGAAUUUUUCUCUAUCAGAUGAAUUUAGUUCAAGUUGCAAUUUUUUCAUGCGAUCAUUUCUGAAAAUCGAAAUUAAAUUAGAAUAAAAUUUUAAUCUUAAUAUAAUGUAUUAUAAUUUAUCAUAAAAUUAAAGAAAUUAAAAUUCUCAAUGAUCAUAAAAAAAUCCGAAAAUUUACAAUUUAGGUAAUUUAUUGAAAAUUUAAAAAAAAUAUUUCUGCAUAAUUACCGAAAUUCCCAUUCUUUAGUAGUAUAAUAUUGUAUCAAUCCUAUACCAUUGUUAACUUUUUGAUGCACUCUUAUUAAAAAUGGUUUAUUUCCAGUUAGAAAAAUAAUAAUAUCUAUAAAAAUUGCAGGUAUAUAAUGGAAUAAGAUCACGCGUAACCAAUGGUAAAAUUUUAAUGUGGUAAUACUUCCACCUGGAUACCAUAGUAAACCUUAAAAUAAAAUUUAUAGAUUAAUUUUAGUUAAAUAUAUAGAUUAAAACAUUAAUUGUUUUUUAUACAUAGAAUUAUUAUUAUAAAUUGAUUUAUAAAUAUUAUUUUAUUUACUUCAUUGAUAUAGAAAAUUGAUUCGUUUUAUUAAUUAUAUUGUGGAAAUAUAUAUUAUAAUUUUUUUAUUAACCUGUGAAUGGAUACAUUAUGGUAUAUUUCUUUCCAGUAUCUACAGCAUAACCCCAAGAAAUCGGAUUUUCAAGUCCUGAAGUAAUGUUCAUAAAUAUUGGUUUUUCAGGUUUUUCUCUUCCUACUUUCCAUGCCAAUCCAAUCAUCGCAUUAAUCGCCAUAUCACAGGGAAUUAGAUUCAAUAAGUAAUUGUAAUUACAGAGAACAGUUCGUAUUACUCCUUUUCCAGCACCUACCAUUAAACCUGUUGGUCCAUUCAUGUUGUCAAUCCAACCAGGCAUUGGUUCUUUCCAUGAUGCGACCACUAAAAUUUAAAUUAAUUUAUAAGAAAUUAUAUUAAAUAUUCAUAAAUUUUAGAAUCAUAUUGCACGUUUAAUAUAAAAAAGUAUAGUUCAAAAAAUUAAAAAUAAUAAAAAUCUUUUAAUAUUUUUGAAUCUUUUAAAAUAAAGAUGCGAUAUAUAUUAAUACAUAAAAAAAAUUUAAUAUGUAAUAGAAAGUUUAUUUAAAAAAGUAUAUAAAAGUAUUAAAUGUAAAAGUAUGUAAAAGUAAUAAAAAAAUAUGUAAUAAAAAAAAUCUAAAAUUUACCUAUAGAAGGUCUUGCAACACCUGCAGGUAGACCACUUUUCUGCACCAAAUCUUCAGCAAGUGCUUUACUAAAAGCAUAAGUGUUCGGUAAUCCUUGUAAUAUUUUUGGUGUCAUGGCUUUCUGAAAAUCAUCUGUCGUAUCAUUUACUAUUUUUAUAAUUUUUUCAAGUUCUAUAGGAGCAGGAUAAUUUCUUUCUUCAAGUACAGAUUCAUUACAGUGACAGUACGAAGUAGAAACAUGAAUGAAGGAUUUUAAAUGCUCCAUCUUAAAAUAAAAAUAAAAAAAUCAAAUGUCAUAAUGUCAAAACAAUGUUUUAAAGAAAAAUGGUAAUUAUUUUUUUACUCAUAAAAUUAGAAAUAAUUAAAAUAAAUAUUUUUAAUUUAAAU